rnacentral:tRNA from 1 species
GGGAGUUUAGCUCAGCUGGUUUAGAGCACCUGCCUUACAAGCAGGGGGUCGGAAGUUCGAAUCUCCCAACUCCCA